GAGUUUGAUCCUGGCUCAGAGCGAACGCUGGCGGCAGGCUUAACACAUGCAAGUCGAGCGGGCCCUUCGGGGUCGAGCGGCGGACGGGUGAGUAACGCGUGGGAACGUGCCUUCUGGUUCGGAAUAACCCUGGGAAACUAGGCUAAUACCGGAUACGCCCUUUGGGGAAAGGUUUACUGCCGGAAGAUCGGCCCGCGUCUGAUUAGCUAGUUGGUGGGGUAAUGGCCUACCAAGGCGACGAUCAGUAGCUGGUCUGAGAGGAUGAUCAGCCACACUGGGACUGAGACACGGCCCAGACUCCUACGGGAGGCAGCAGUGGGGAAUAUUGGACAAUGGGCGCAAGCCUGAUCCAGCCAUGCCGCGUGAGUGAUGAAGGCCUUAGGGUUGUAAAGCUCUUUUAUUCCGGGACGAUAAUGACGGUACCGGAGGAAUAAGCCCCGGCUAACUUCGUGCCAGCAGCCGCUGU
rnacentral:rRNA from 1 species